rnacentral:rRNA from 1 species
UACGGGGGGGGCAAGCGUUGUUCGGAAUUACUGGGCGUAAAGGGCUCGUAGGCGGCCAACUAAGUCAGACGUGAAAUCCCUCGGCUUAACCGGGGAACUGCGUCUGAUACUGGAUGGCUUGAGUUUGGGAGAGGGAUGCGGAAUUCCAGGUGUAGCGGUGAAAUGCGUAGAGAUCGGGAGGAACAUCAGUUGCGAAGGCGGCUCUCUGGACCAGCACUGACACUGAGGCACGAAAGCGUGGGGAGCAAACAGG